UGAAGGGGCUGGCUGGGUUAGGUCAGUGGUUGUGCAAAGCAGCAGUGGUCAUGCUGUGCUAAGCAGCUGGGAGAGCUGCUUGGUAGCUCUCAUCAUGACAACUGUCUGCAACAGCAGGGGACAAAAAGGGACUCCUGCUCUGCUGCUGCCUGGCGCUGACCUGCAGAGCUGUGGCAGAGGAGGACUGGGCUUUGCUCGUGCCAGAUUCCAGCUGCUCUAUCUCUGUUUGGCUGGCCCAGAUCCCCUGGCAGUCUCCUCUGCACACUGAGUAUUCUCCACUUCCCACCCUAAGCUGAUGUGCCGUGUUGCUGUGGGCUGCUGAACAACUGCUACUUUCCAUUCAGUGACCAGCUGUCCUUCACUGGUGGGGAAAAGUGAUUUAUAUGCAAGAGAAAGCAAUAGCUGGCACAGCCCAGAGCUGGGAGCCAGAAACGCUGGGCUCAUUUCACCUCUGUGACUGAUUUCUUGUAUGACCCUGGGCACGUGUGUUAAAAUUCACUGUCUCACUGGCUCUGCCUCUACAGCAGAAGCUGCCUCUGCUGGAGGGGUGUGAGGAGGGCAAAUUGACAUUGCUUUGGGGUCACAAAUUGGCUGGAGACGUUCAGAAUAAACCAUUUUUUCCUAA